UGCAGCUCACACGUACUCCGUGCUCGGCAGCGAUUGCGUGGCUGUCCCAGUGACCUUUCAGGCAGCCUCCUCCGGGCAGGGUUAACCCUUGCGAUGCGCAGUCUGCCUCACGCUCUCCUCUCGCUAAGCUCAAGAAAAGAAGUCGGAGCACAGCCUGACGACAGACUCCCUCUACAGCUAAGCUGAUUUAGCACCAAAUUGCAUCCGGCUUCACGAAUUAAAUCCUCAGAGCACUCUAGGAGCUGGGAGGCUGCAGCCAUGCUCCCUUCCCAGGCUCUCCUGCUGGCACUCGCAGCCCUUCAGGCCCUUGCCUCCGACACCUUCAUGGCAGCCGUCUACGAGCACACCGUCAUCCUGCCGCAUCCCACCGAGGAGCCCGUUUCUCCCAGUGAUGCUUUGGCCCUGAUGAACAAAAACAUGGAUGUCCUGGAAGGGGCCAUCAAGGAAGCCGCCCAGCAGGGUGCCCAGAUCAUUGUGACUCCUGAAGAUGGCAUCUAUGGCUGGCGAUUCACAAGAGAAACCAUCUACCCCUACCUGGAGGAUAUCCCUGAUCCGGUGGUGAAUUGGAUUCCCUGCACUGACCCCUCAAGAUUUGGUCCGGCACCAGUGCAGGAACGACUCAGCUGCAUGGCCAGAAAUAAUUCCAUCUAUGUGGUUGCAAAUAUUGGGGACAAGAAGCCGUGUGACUCCAGCGAUCCCAGCUGCCCCAGGGAUGGUCGCUACCACUACAAUACGGAUGUGGUCUUUGACACACAGGGGAAACUGGUGGCUCGGUACCAUAAGUAUAAUCUCUUUCUAGGAGAAAAUCAGUUUAAUUAUCCAAAAGAGCCAGAAGCUGUCACCUUUGAGACUCCUUUUGGGAAGUUUGGCAUUUUCACUUGCUUUGACAUCCUUUUCUAUGAGCCUGCCGUGGUCCUGGUGAGCAAGAUGCAGGUGGACACCGUGCUCUUCCCAACAGCUUGGAUGAAUGUCCUGCCCUUUCUGACUGCAAUUGAGUUUCACUCUGCCUGGGCCAUGGGCAUGCGUGUCAAUGUCUUAGCUGCCAAUACUCACAACACCAGCAUGGAAAUGACAGGGAGUGGCAUUUAUGCACCAGCUGGAGCCAGAACAUACUCCUACAACAUGAAAACUGAAGAUGGUCACCUCCUCAUUGCUGAACUAGAUGCACACCCUCGUCUUUCUCCUGCCUCCCCACCUGCUGUCAGCUGGAACUCAUAUGCUUUGAGUGUUGAAAGAUUCUCACAGAAUGACCAUGAAUUCACAGGAAUUGUCUUUGAAGACCUCUUUACUUUCACGGAGCUCGCUAAGCCUGAGGGGAAUCUCACUGUCUGCCAAAAAGACCUCUGCUGUCAUUUGAGCUACAAGAUGGCAGAGAAAAGAGAUGAUGAAGUUUAUGUGCUGGGUGCUUUUGAUGGCCUUCAUGUUGUUGAAGGACAGUACUAUCUGCAGAUCUGCACUCUGCUCAAAUGCCCCAGCACAAACCUGAGCACAUGUGGGCAGCCCGUGGAGAUGGCUCAGACCAAGUUUGAGAUGUUCUCCCUCAGUGGCACGUUUGGCACCAGCUACGUCUUCCCAGAAGUGCUGUACAGCGGGGUGCAGCUGGCCCCUGGGGAGUUCGAGGUGCUAGCUGAUGGACGUCUGAAAAAUCGGAAUACUACAUCAAAGCCAGUUUUGAGUGUAACACUCUAUGGGAGGUGGUAUGAAAAGGACGCUCCAUCCACAUAUCAAACUUCAGCAUGAUUUCACUGCAGAUCCUUCAAGCUUUCAUCAGCUCGUUUCUGUAAUGCCAAUUAAUCACAAAUAAUGAGAAACUCAGAAGCAAGCUGCACAUACUGACACAUAGCACAGGAACUGAGGAAUAUGAAGAUACUAGAAUGAAGAAGUUUUUAAGACACCCUGGAGCUGCGUCCUGAUAAGUCCUCUGCUGGACAGUAAUGGAAUAAACUGUCUCAAAGCAGCCACAGUGAACCUGCUCAUAGUGAUUAAUCAGACCUAUUAAAUACAUUUUCAUGCAAUCACUUGAUUCAGUGAGAGAUAUGGUGUAACACACCUUCUUCCUGUUUUGUCACAUUUUUCUGAGCUCUCAGUGUCUGCAUAUGGGUACUCCUCUAAUAAACUCUUUGUUUCACGUUUUUCAAUCCUGUUCUGAAUGCAGGAUGUUUGAUAAGUAAGAAAAAUACCCAACUAGAUCAGUCAUUACUGUGAUGCUUUUUGGAUGCUGGUAUGAAAGGGAUCAUCUGAAACAAGACCUGCAACCAACAUGCCUCCCCAUGAUAUUUCCGUAACUGAAGCUCUACACUGUUAUUCCUAUGUCCAAAUGGGAUACAGCAUCAUUUACAACAACCAUCCUAAUUAUGUCUCCCAUUUCCAAUUGUAAAAACUCAUCAAUGUGUUUGGUUUAGUAAUAAUGUGGUAAUAUUAUAUUAUUACUACCAUUUCUUGAGAAUAAUCUAUUUCUAUGUAAUAAGAAUACUAAUAUUUUAUUAGUUCAAAACAGCAGUUGCUUUAAUCUGUUUGCUGGAUUUUUCUUUUUCUAAUCCUCAAAAAGCCUCAAUUGUGGUCCAGAGUAUAUAUUCCUCAAUUUUAGUCCAGAGUAUACAUUCUUAUUAAAACAGCAUUGCAUGUUUUUUCAUUGCAGAUUAUUAUGGGACCAGUAAAUAAAGCAGUGAAAGAUGUGAUUUGUGGCAGGUCUGUACACAUGCUCAAUAUUUCUUUGUCUCUGGAAUAUGGCAUGUGCUGACUUAUGCCACUCGGCUCUUUUACCACAAUUAGAUCUUUCCCCCCCCUAUUUGUGUUGCUUUGGUUUUAAAUCCUUUAUGUCAUUGGUGCCUAUCACGUAGGAAAUGGCAACAGAGUGCAUCAUGGAAACUGAGCAAGGACUCCAGUCAAAGAGCUCCUCCUGAAACAAAAUGUGCCACCACUUUUUGGUCAGAACAUGACUUGAAUCAUUAUACAUAUAAAAUCUCUGUUGAAGUAAAACU